UGGUCACCACACCCUACAACUUCAGAGAGU
rnacentral:piRNA from 1 species